CCGAACCGACUAAUGUUGAAAAAUUAGCGGAUGACCUGUGGCUGGGGGUGAAAGGCCAAUCAAACCGGGAGAUAGCUGGUUCUCCCCGAAAGCUAUUUAGGUAGCGCCUCGUGAAUUCAUCUCCGGGGGUAGAGCACUGUUUCGGCUAGGGGGCCAUCCCGGCUUACCAACCCGAUGCAAACUGCGAAUACCGGAGAAUGUUAUCACGGGAGACACACGGCGGGUGCUAACGUCCGUCGUGAAGAGGGAAACAACCCAGACCGCCAGCUAAGGUCCCAAAGUCAUGGUUAAGUGGGAAACGAUGUGGGAAGGCCCAGACAGCCAGGAUGUUGGCUUAGAAGCAGCCAUCAUUUAAAGAAAGCGUAAUAGCUCACUGGUCGAGUCGGCCUGCGCGGAAGAUGUAACGGGGCUAAACCAUGCACCGAAGCUGCGGCAGCGACACUGUGUGUUGUUGGGUAGGGGAGCGUUCUGUAAGCCUGUGAAGGUGUGUCGUGAGGCAUGCUGGAGGUAUCAGAAGUGCGAAUGCUGACAUAAGUAACGAUAAAGCGGGUGAAAAGCCCGCUCGCCGGAAGACCAAGGGUUCCUGUCCAACGUUAAUCGGGGCAGGGUGAGUCGACCCCUAAGGCGAGGCCGAAAGGCGUAGUCGAUGGGAAACGGGUUAAUAUUCCCGUACUUGGUGUUACUGCGAAGGGGGGACGGAGAAGGCUAUGUUGGCCGGGCGACGGUUGUCCCGGUUUAAGCGUGUAGGUGUGUGUUCCAGGUAAAUCCGGUUCACUUUAACACUGAGGCGUGACGACGAGGCACUACGGUGCUGAAGCAACAAAUGCCCUGCUUCCAGGAAAAGCCUCUAAGCAUCAGGUAACAUCAAAUCGUACCCCAAACCGACACAGGUGGUCAGGUAGAGAAUACCAAGGCGCUUGAGAGAACUCGGGUGAAGGAACUAGGCAAAAUGGUGCCGUAACUUCGGGAGAAGGCACGCUGACACGUAGGUGAAGUGAUUUACUCAUGGAGCUGAAGUCAGUCGAAGAUACCAGCUGGCUGCAACUGUUUAUUAAAAACACAGCACUGUGCAAACACGAAAGUGGACGUAUACGGUGUGACGCCUGCCCGGUGCCGGAAGGUUAAUUGAUGGGGUCAGCGCAAGCGAAGCUCCUGAUCGAAGCCCCGGUAAACGGCGGCCGUAACUAUAACGGUCCUAAGGUAGCGAAAUUCCUUGUCGGGUAAGUUCCGACCUGCACGAAUGGCGUAAUGAUGGCCAGGCUGUCUCCACCCGAGACUCAGUGAAAUUGAACUCGCUGUGAAGAUGCAGUGUACCCGCGGCAAGACGGAAAGACCCCGUGAACCUUUACUAUAGCUUGACACUGAACAUUGAGCCUUGAUGUGUAGGAUAGGUGGGAGGCUUUGAAGUGUGGACGCCAGUCUGCAUGGAGCCGACCUUGAAAUACCACCCUUUAAUGUUUGAUGUUCUAACGUGGACCCGUUACCCGGGUUGCGGACAGUGUCUGGUGGGUAGUUUGACUGGGGCGGUCUCCUCCUAAAGAGUAACGGAGGAGCACGAAGGUUGGCUAAUCCUGGUCGGACAUCAGGAGGUUAGUGCAAUGGCAUAAGCCAGCUUGACUGCGAGCGUGACGGCGCGAGCAGGUGCGAAAGCAGGUCAUAGUGAUCCGGUGGUUCUGAAUGGAAGGGCCAUCGCUCAACGGAUAAAAGGUACUCCGGGGAUAACAGGCUGAUACCGCCCAAGAGUUCAUAUCGACGGCGGUGUUUGGCACCUCGAUGUCGGCUCAUCACAUCCUGGGGCUGAAGUAGGUCCCAAGGGUAUGGCUGUUCGCCAUUUAAAGUGGUACGCGAGCUGGGUUUAGAACGUCGUGAGACAGUUCGGUCCCUAUCUGCCGUGGGCGCUGGAGAACUGAGGGGGGCUGCUCCUAGUACGAGAGGACCGGAGUGGACGCAUCACUGGUGUUCGGGUUGUCAUGCCAAUGGCACUGCCCGGUAGCUAAAUGCGGAAGAGAUAAGUGCUGAAAGCAUCUAAGCACGAAACUUGCCCCGAGAUGAGUUCUCCCUGAGACUUAGAGUCUCCUGAAGGAACGUUGAAGACGACGACGUUGAUAGGCCGGGUGUGUA
rnacentral:rRNA from 1 species